rnacentral:rRNA from 1 species
GAUGAACGCUGGCGGCGUGCCUAAUACAUGCAAGUCGAGCGAACGGACGAGAAGCUUGCUUCUCUGAUGUUAGCGGCAGACGGGUGAGUAACACGUGGAUAACCUACCUAUAAGACUGGGAUAACUUCGGGAAACCGGAGCUAAUACCGGAUAAUAUUUUGAACCGCAUGGUUCAAAAGUAAAAGACGGUCUUGCUGUCACUUAUAGAUGGAUCCGCGCUGCAUUAGCUAGUUGGUAAGGUAACGGCUUACCAAGGCAACGAUGCAUAGCCGACCUGAGAGGGUGAUCGGCCACACUGGAACUGAGACACGGUCCAGACUCCUACGGGAGGCAGCAGUAGGGAAUCUUCCGCAAUGGGCGAAAGCCUGACGGAGCAACGCCGCGUGAGUGAUGAAGGUCUUCGGAUCGUAAAACUCUGUUAUUAGGGAAGAACAUAUGUGUAAGUAACUGUGCACAUCUUGACGGUACCUAAUCAGAAAGCCACGGCUAACUACGUG